rnacentral:rRNA from 1 species
UACGUAGGGUGCAAGCGUUAAUCGGAAUUACUGGGCGUAAAGCGUGCGCAGGCGGUUGUGCAAGGCAGAUGUGAAAUCCCCGGGCUCAACCUGGGAACUGCAUUUGUGACUGCACGGCUGGAGUGCGGCAGAGGGGGAUGGAAUUCCGCGUGUAGCAGUGAAAUGCGUAGAUAUGCGGAGGAACACCGAUGGCGAAGGCAAUCCCAUGGGCCUGCACUGACGCUCAUGCACGAAAGCGUGGGGAGCAAACAGG